rnacentral:rRNA from 1 species
AACGUAGGUGGCGAGCGUUAUCCGGAUUUACUGGGCGUAAAGGGCUCGUAGGCGGCCAACUAAGUCGGAUGUGAAAUCCCUCGGCUUAACCGGGGAACUGCGUCUGAUACUGGAUGGCUUGAGUUUGGGAGAGGGAUGCGGAAUUCCAGGUGUAGCGGUGAAAUGCGUAGAUAUCUGGAGGAACACCGGUGGCGAAGGCGGCAUCCUGGACCAAUACUGACACUGAGGAGCGAAAGCCAGGGGAGCAAACGGG